CGAGACGCUGGAGAGCGGGAGGGGCCGGGAAGCGGGGCGCGCUGCGGUCCGGCUGCUGGCCCGGAGCCCCGAGGAACAAUACUGCGUGUGUGGUUUGUGAAGCGAAGUUCUGGAACCUGGCUGGCUGUUCAGUGCAGACAAGCAGAAAUGUUCAUUUUGAGCCCAGACUCUGAAACUUUCAAGCUGAGCUGAAACCAGUGCCCCAAUAAUGAGAGUGGAAGGAAAGAGUAUGAUGAGGAGAGUUCUGAUCUUUGGUUGUUAUUAUUAUUAAUGUUUAGGACAGCAGUUAUCAACAACAUGUUAAGAAAUUGCACUGAUACUGACUUUUAAACAAUCCUGUACUCCUAAUCGUUUCCUUUUGUUUACUAGAUGUCAUUGUAACAAACUGAAAUUUUCAUCUUCCUUGUGCUCGCGCAGAGCUGGAAGUGCUACGCAUGUACAUUUCGAUUUGUAGUCUUUCUAAGCGCCAUCCUGGCACACGCUUUCAAUAAAGUUCAACAAGAAUUCA